rnacentral:rRNA from 1 species
CGCUGGCGGCGUGCCUAAUACAUGCAAGUCGAACGGUCUUUCUAUGGAAGCUUGCUUCCACUGAGAAGAUAGUGGCGAACGGGUGAGUAACACGUGGGUAACCUGCCCAUAAGAGGGGGAUAACAUCCGGAAACGGGUGCUAAUACCGCAUAGUUUUCUUGAUCGCAUGAUCAGGAAAGGAAAGACGGCCUUUGUGCUGUCGCUUAUGGAUGGACCCGCGGCGUAUUAGUUAGUUGGUGGGGUAACGGCUCACCAAGACGAUGAUACGUAGCCGACCUGAGAGGGUGAUCGGCCACAUUGGGACUGAGACACGGCCCAAACUCCUACGGGAGGCAGCAGUAGGGAAUCUUCCGCAAUGGACGAAAGUCUGACGGAGCAACGCCGCGUGAGUGAAGAAAGGUUUUCGGAUCGUAAAACUCUGUUGUCAGAGAAGAACAAGUCGGAGAGUAACUGCUCCGGCCUUGACGGUAUCUGACCAGAAAGCCACGGCUAACUACGUGCCAGCAGCAGC